GUCAUUUUUUGGCGAGUGAUAUUAAUCUAGGACGUUCUUUCCAAUUGUUAUAUUGGACUUUCCACGUGCGAUUUCUUCGGAGCUCUAAGUGUAUUGACGUCAACCCAGCUCCGUGUCUGUAUAAAAGCCAAGAAGCUGUAUACAGGUCUGCUACAAAACUUGAAGAAAUAUCUUACCAGUUACGUAACAAACUGCAACAGACGAUAGAAACAAAGACGACAACUCUCGAACUGAGUGAUUUUUGCUAAAGAAAACCGUAAUGGUGAUAGACCUAAAAAUGGCCAAGACGUUAUUUUUUUUGUAAAGAAUGUAAAAUGUGGAAAUAGGAUUUAAACAGCAAUUGUCUAUGGGCAUUUAUAAGUUUUACACAUUGUGAUAGUUUUCACUUUAGGGAAAAUAAAUCGCUAUCCAUUCCCGUAACAGUCCUAAAAAAUCAGGUUUCCACAGUGAGCCACCCGUCUUCUUCAACUGUCACGGGACAUUAAACAAAAUUGAUUGGCAGAUAAUGCCGAGCUGUAUUCUACAAAUUAGACUAAAUUAGAGAAAUUUAAAAUAACUCGAUUUAGUUCUCCUAAGAAGGUGUUCGAAACUCGCGCAAUCGCAACUUGUAUAUUAUUCACGAAUUCAGUUGCAUCAGGGCACUCAUUGCUAAGAAAACUGAUGGCUCCUUAUACUUAGCUUAUAUAAACGUAUAUUCGCGGAAGCUAAUAAAAGACUAGCUUCCAAUGAGAUCGUCAACUGAUUUCUAUUUUCUGAUCUUAAGAUCAUUCAAACUUGUGAUCGAAGUUUCCUUGCAGGUCACGGAUGACCGCACCCCUGUAAACAGACAAAUAGUUUUUUCAGUUAUUGACCACUUGCUGUUCAUCACAAUUUUCCAUUUUGAAGGAAGAAUAAAAGGAGCUUCAAAAGACGUCCUUACACGGCAGCGAAAAGUUUUCUGACAACUCAGUGCCUGAGAGAAUCGAGUUUGUGUCUGUUAUGAGUAGUGAAGGCAACAUCAAAGGAACAGCAGAAGUUUAAAUGGAACCCAAAGCUACAAUCCGGUUGUUAAUUGCAGACGAAACAUUGAUAAUUUCUCCAAGAGAAUCAAUACAAAAAUUUUUAAUUUG